rnacentral:lncRNA from 1 species
UCACUCUAUUCCCCUCCUCCUUUCUCCUCUCCUUGCCUGUCCUGUACCUUGAAUUUAGAAAGUGAGGCCAUUUGGAGGUAUUUCAGUAUCACGAGGGCACGUGAUAGGAUUAGUCCCGUUAUAAAUAGAACCUGCAGCACUCGCUCUUUCCGCCUCCUCCUUUCUGAUCUCCGUUUCUGUCCUGUGCCUUGAAUUUCCCACCUCCAGAAGUGUAAGCAAGAAAUUCCUGUUGUUUAUAAGCCAUGCAGGGCAUAGUACUUUGUUAUAGCAGCCAAACUAACUAGGACAGUCUAAAACAUGUUUCUGAGUCUGUGAAGUCUUAGAAUACUUAAGUCAAAGGCCUGGCAACAGCGUUUGCGGGUGAGUUGCGGACUAUUUACCCAUCAGAAUAUCCCAGUUUUACUAAGGCAAGACUAUUCUCUCAAGGGCUAUCAUCCCACAGAAACCAUAGCAGUUUAGUCAAGAAGAGACCAGAACCAUUGGUUCUACAUUCUACUCCAUUAAGUAAGAUUUGUAUGUUCCUGCCUGCCUGUACACACUGAAGACUAG